rnacentral:lncRNA from 1 species
AGCAAUCAUGGGAAAAGGAAAGCUUUAAUAAAAAUAGAAUUCCAAAUAUUUCAGCAGGGUUCUCUUUGUCUAACUACAAGAGAUUCAGAGAGUGGAUCAGACAACCUGCAUCCUUCUUGUUCCGCAGUUACCCAGGUGUACACCCUCAGGCGAGCCUCUAGACACCCCUGGGCCCCUGUCUCCUCACUUGUAAAAUGAGGAGGAGUCCCACCUGGCUACUUCGGAGAGUGGAGGAGUCCUUUAAGGCAGCCCUGGUUCACAGAGGACCCCUGACUGAGGCCCAGGACAUAUAUGGAGUGGGAAAGGAAUUGUAUAUAGGCUUGGGGGUGAACCUUGUGAAGCCUGUUAGAAGGACCCUAGAACUUCAGUGUUUGAAGGACAAUAACCAAGAAUCAAAAUCCCCAGACUGCCAGCUUUCUGUGUCAGAUCGGAGGGGACCAAGGGGCCAGGUAGCUACAGCAUCUCUGCCUGCCUGGAUACCUUCCUCUCAUCAGCAGCACAGCCACCAACUCGGGCAAGGAAAUAAAACCUUGGACAAAAAGGGGUAAGUCCAGGAAAUGCCAAAUUAGUUGGACUUUUGCAGAUCUUUGUGGGAUCCUUAGACAUUUAUAUUCUCAGAGGAGAGACCUUCCUUUUUUAUUCUGGUAUAAUAGGCAAAACCUCACACUUACCUUUGUAACCAUCUUUGAAUGUGUAAUUCAGUGGGGAGACGCAUUUGAUGACUUCAGUUCUAUGCUGAUGUAUAAUAGAUUGUGUACUCUGCUGUCAAAGGUCCUUAUUGAUCUGCGGAAUCAGACAGUAGGGUCCCAUUGGUUAAGGUGGGUUUGUCUCCUGCAAUAGGGAAACAACCUCAAUAUACCACAUACACAAUGGAAAAUUAUCCAGAGGUCGUUUGUCAUUGAUACAGGUAAGAUCUCAC